GACGAACGCUGGCGGUGUGCUUAACACAUGCAAGUCGAGCGGUGAUCCACCUUCGGGUGGUGAUCAGCGGCGAACGGGUGAGUAACACGUGGGCAACCUGCCCCGAGCACUGGGAUAACAGCGGGAAACCGCUGCUAAUACCGGAUACGACCAAUGACCGCAUGGUCCGGGGGGGGAAAGGAAUCCGGCUCGGGAGGGGCCCGCGGCCUAUCAGCUAGUUGGUGGGGUAAUGGGCUACCAAGGCGACGACGGGUAGCCGGCCUGAUGAGGGCGACCGGCCACACUGGGACUGAGACACGGCCCAGACUCCUACGGGAGGCAGCAGUGGGGAAUAUUGCGCAAUGGGCGAAAGCCUGACGCAGCAACACCGCGUGAGGGAUGACGGCCUUCGGGUUGUAAACCUCUUUCAGCUCCGACGAAGCGAGAGUGACGGUAGGAGCAGAAGAAGCACCGGCUAACUACGUGCCAGCAGCCGCCGUAAUAC
rnacentral:rRNA from 1 species